rnacentral:lncRNA from 10 species
ACUCUGCUGUGUAGAAGAGUAAUUGACUUGUAUUUUCUGGUAUUUUCUCUAUACAGAAAUUAGUUCAAACUAUUUCCAAGAUGUUCAAAAAUUGGAUGUGGCUGCAUGAAACAGGUUAAAAAGUUUGAUAUGGUAGGGACUGACUAUGGAAUGGCAAUGUGAGGAGUGUGGCAGACAGACCCUCUCCCCAGGUUGGAAAGUUUCUAUUGACAUGUCUUCUAGCUCACUGAUUCUUUUCUCAGCCGUGUCCAGUCUACUGAUUAAUGCACCAAAAGCAUUGUAUUAGUCCAUUUUCACACUGCUGAUAGAGACAUACCCAAGACUGGACAAUUUACAAAAGAAAGAGGUUUAACUGGACUCACAGUUCCAUGUGGCUGAGGAGGCUUCUCAAUCAUGGUGGAAGGCAAGGAGGAGCAAGUCACAUCUGUUCUAUGAUCACACUCUGACUGAUACAAGAUGAAACAAU